UUCCAAACAGUAUGUAUAAUAUGCUAUCUGCUAAUUAAAAUGCUAAAAGAAGAAGAAACAGUGGACAGCAAGAAUACACACAUUCAUGUUUGCUUAUAUAUGGGUAAAGAAACUCAGGAAAGUUACAGGAGGAGCUAAUAACAGUGGUUAAUUACAAUGGUAGAGGAGAGGCUUGGCAGAUAAGGGACUCGUUUGCAGAUAUGACUUUCCUUUGUGUACAUUUCUAUAUAUUAUUUUACUUCUUCUGAAAAUGCCACAUAAUUUGCAAUAAAUGAUUCACUCCUUAGCUCCAAAAGCAAGUCCUUUAUCAAAAUGCAAAUGUUCCAGAGGGAUGUAGCCAGAUUCUGUGGACCGCCGUCUUUUUCACCCUUAAGAAUCCGUCGCUAUGAUUUCUCUUCCUCUGCUUGGAGACCUUUAGAGAGCCAGCCUGCAGCUGCUCAGAGCAUUGACUACUAAACAGCUCACAGUUGCUAUUGCUGAAAAUGCCCGGUGGUUAUGCCUUGCCUGACCAGGGGUAGCCCACAGCUGAUGACAGGCCCCCUUGCCUCAAGGUGGGACAACUUCGGUGGUGCCAUUCAUAUCCAGAGCUGCCUGGAAUCAGGCCGAGGCUGGACAUCAGCCGACCCCGCAUCUUUGCUGAGUUUAUUCCUCUGCUGUACUUCCCUCGCUUCCCUCACCUCCUUCUUGGUUUCUCCUGAGAGCCUCCCUCAAUAAAUCACUUACCCCAGAAUCCUUGUCUCAGACUCCGCUUCUAGGACCCAACUUAAGACAUUCACAAAAUAAAUCACAUUGAUGGAAAACAGAUCCCAUUCUCCAAAAUGAAUAACCAGUAGGCACUUGUGACUAGCACAAGCAUCAGCAUAUCCACAUGGUGCUAAACUAACACCAACCCAAAGCAGAUAGUGCUGGGUGGACUCGGUACAAGUUAAUAGCUCAUGGGUCUCCAUCCCCAACACCUUCAGACCCAAGGCUCCAGGGCUGCCAGCCUGAGAACCCUAAGUCAUGAUUUUGGGCACUUUGGCUGGAUUUCCUAGCAACUGGCUGAGAGCAGGACAGGUAAACAGAGUUGGGAGGAGGAAGCAAAAAAGGCUAGAGUGGACAUCAGUUGACUUUGCCUGCCAUGGUAGAGACUUUCAGUCAUCCACCAUAAUCCAUCCCCAUUCUGCUGCACAGAAGUAUUGUGGCUGAGACACCUGCUUUUCUCCACCCCUCUAGUUAAUGUGACUAAAUUCUCCCUAUGGAAUGGGAAUGGAAGGGCCAUACCCAGGCCAGUGUCUUCAGGUAGGGGCUGUGACCCUUCCACACCUGUACCAGACACAAUCAUCAUCUCACUGGGUUUUGCCAGCUUUCAGGUCUAUGUGCUGAAAGCUGCUUACAGCUAACCUCUGCAGAUUUUCCUGGCACAGGAGGCAUGCUUGGCCAGUGCACAGGGCAAGUUGGAAGGGCCCUAAUGUCAGCAGCCUUCAACCAAUGAUGGAUGGAAAGUUGCAGACAGUGUCCUAUGCAUCUGCAGUGGGAUAACUCUGAGACGUGUGCUGUACUGCCUCCUAGAGGGCCCAGGGUGAUUAAGCACCAGUUACCCACAGCAGUAACUUCCUUGAUUCUGUUCCCCACAUGGGCACUUUUCUUCCUGUCACACCUCCCCAAUCCCCUGCAGAUACUUUCUGGGAUUGCUUCCUAAACAAUCCACUUGAACUUUUUUUUUUUUUCUUUUUUUUGACAUGGAGUAUUGCUCUUGUUGCCCAGGUUGGAGUGCAAUGGCACGAUCUUGGCUCACUGCAACUUCCGCUUCCUGGGUUCAAGCAAUUCUCCUGCCUCAGCCUCCUGAGUAGCUGGGAUUACAGGCGCCUGCCAUCACGCCUGGCUAAUUUUUGUAUUUUCAGUAGAGACGGGGUUUCGCCAUGUUGGCCACGCUGGUCUCAAACUCCUGACCUCGUGAUCUGCCCGCCUCGGCCUCCCAAAGUGCUGGGAUUACCGGCGUGAGCCACCGUGCCCAGCCCCACUUGAACUUUAAUCCUUGCCUCGGAAUUGGCUUCUGGGGAAACCAAAAAUAUAUUAAAAAAAGAGAGACCAGGACCUUAAAAAGAGCCCAAGUUGUUGAGCUCCCUGCCAAGUCACCCCCAGGUAUCUCUGCCCACCAGCUUGCAUGAGCCAGAUCCUCAGUGCAGGUUUUUCCAAUCAGUCAUUUGUUCUUCCACCCAACGCUCAAGAUUUGCUUCUUCAAGACAACUCUCUGAUCAGCUGAGACCCAUAGACACCCAGCUUCUACCACACAUAUGAUGGCAUUAUCCUAGGGCAUGGCAGAGCAACGCAAGGGAAAACUCUGGGCCCCCAAGUGAUGUCAUGGAGGAGAACUCUCAACCCAGAACUACUACGUGAGAAACAACGCUCUCUCUUCUUUAAGCCAUAGGUGUGUUGGGAAUCUUUGUUACAGCAGCACGCCUGAUCUUUUGUUUUGUUUUGUUUUGUUUUAGAGAUGGAGUCUUGCUCUUUCGCCAGGCUGGAGUGCAGUGGUGCGAUCUUGGCUCACCAUGUUGGUCAGGCUGGUUUCAAAUCCCUGACCUCAAGUGAUCCUCCCACCUUGGCCUCCCAAAGUGCUGGGAUUACAGGUGUGAGCCACCGCACCCGGCCCAGCCAUGCCUUGUCUUAACUAGCAUAGCCGCCCAACGUCCACUUCUUUUGGCCAUGUUGUCCUGAUUCUGCUGGAGAAUCCCUUUCCCACUGCUCCCAGACCAGUGGUGUAGCUGACCUGCGCUCUCUCCACUCAAUUCAGGGGAGGGAGGGGUUUAGGCCUGGGCUAAGAGAGCUGCACAUUUCCCAGGGCACAGUGAUUAGUUGAGGGUGGGUCCCAGAGCCAAAUCUGCCCAAGAUCUUAGCCUGAAAGAGAAACCCUCCUGCUGAGUGACUGCACUGUGAGGCAGAAGUCCAGAGCUGUGGGUGGCCAUCCAGCCUCCAUUUGCGCCUGCCUGAGAAAGAAGCCACCAUGGGGGAAAUCGAGCUAAAAGACGGAGAGGGAGGUAAGAGAGGAUGACAUCACAUAAGCACCAGAUCUGGCCACCCCUGAAACUGGAACAACCCUAAGCUUUACAGCUACUACAUUCCCUUUUCUGCUGAAGUUGUUUUACACUGGGUUUCUGUCUCUUGCAACCAAGAGCUCUGUUAAAUAAAAACCUGACCCUAAGGAGAACGUUAGCUGGUUCACAAUUCCCUGUGCAAAACAGGCACAGGUCAGCUGCCCCAGCCUGUCGUUUGGAUAUUCCUUUCUAAGAACGCUCACUUUUGUUGUCUACAUGACCCAGAUAACCAAGGAGAAAGCAAAUCAACCGCCUUCCAGCGGCGCCUUCCUUGGCAGCAAGUGCUAAGAGAGAACACAAUGUGAGUACUCUGCCCUCUGGAGUCAGGGUUGAUCCUCAGCACUUGCUGUCCUGGGAGGCUGCACCUGUGACACUUGAGUGCCAGGUUCAACCCCUACUGCUGCUGCUGCUGCCUGAAUGGGGCCAUUUAGACUGUUGAGUGCUACAGCCUCAGCCCAGGAACCCGGAGCUUCACAUGAGGCAGAGCAGGGCCCCAGGGUCCCUGAAACUUGCCAGUUCAAACAGCAGAGGGGUGAGGACUCCCCAGUCAGCCCUGGUCUCAUACCUGCCUCUGCAUGGUCCCAGUCCAGCCUGAGGCCUUUGCUUUCUUUUUUGAAGGGAAGGUGAGGAGAGAGGGGGAAAAUAGAGGUGUUCUGACUAGACUUAGGAUUCCUGGCCUCUGCCUCUGACCGCCAGAGGACAGCCUCUGCAGUUGCCUCAUCUACUCAUGAAAACAGGCCUGUGACCCCAGGGGUGCUCUGAGGAUUCUUCCAGAAAACAUCUGCCCAGCUAGGACUACCUAGCUCACUGCCCAAAAAGGGUUCAUUUCCUUUCCUUCUGAAACAAAAGCGCUUAAUUGGAAGAGAAGCAUUGACUCAAGCUAUAGGAUAUGCCACUUAAAAUGUCCAGAUCUUGGCACAAGGCCUGGCGCACAGUGUGGGAGAGAAGGAGAGAAGAAGGUGGAAGGAAAGGAGGGAGGGGAAAGAGGAAGCAGGGAGGGAGAAAAUAAGACAAGGGCCUCCUCAUCUGGAUGCUUCCCUAGACCAAGAAGUGGCCCAGGUGGUGCCCAGGGGACAGGGAGUGGGCAAUAAAAGACAAUGGGGUGUAGGUGAUAGGGUGUAGAUGAUCAGGGUAUAGGUGAUCAGGAUGUAGGUGAUGGGGUGUAGAUGACUGGGGUAUAGAUGAUUGAAGUGUAGGUGAUGGGGUAUAGAUGAUCGAGGUGUAGGUGAUGGGGUAUAGAUGAUUGAGGUGUAGGUGAUGGGGUGUAGGUGAUGGGGGUCAAGGUGAUCAAGGUGUAGGUGAUGGGGUGUUGGUGAUUGGGGUGUAGAUGAUUGAGGUAUCGGUGAUGGGGGUCAAGGUGAUCAAGGUGUAGGUGAUGGGGUGUUGGUGAUUGGGGUGUAGGUGAUCAGGGUGUAAGUGAUGAGGUAUAGGUGAUGCAGUGUAGGUGAUCAGGGUAUAGGUGAUGAGGUGUAGGUGAUGGAGUGUAGAUGAUUGAGGUGUAGGUGAUGGGGUAUAGGUGAUUGGGGUGUAGGCAAUGGGGUGUAGGUGAUCGGGGUCAAGGUGAUAGAGGUGUAGGUGAUGGGGUGUUGGUGAUUGGGGUGUAGGUGAUCAGGGUGUAGGUGAUGGGGUAUAGGUGAUUGGGGUGUAGGCAAUGGGGUGUAGGUGAUUGGGGUCAAGGAGAUAGAGGUGUAGGUGAUGGGGUGUUGGUGAUUGGGGUGUAGGUGAUCAGGGUGUAGGUGAUUGGGGUGUAGGUGAUCGGGGUGUAGGUGACCAGGGUAUAGGUGAUCAGGGUGUAGGUGAUGGGAUGUAGGUGAUCAGGGUCAAGGUGAUUGAGGUGUAGGUGAUGGGAUGUUGGCAACCAGGGUGUAGGUGAUCAGGAUGUAGGUGAUGGGGUGUAGACGAUCAGGGUGUAGGUGAUGGGCUGUUGCUGACCAGGGUGUAGGUGAUCAGGGUGUAGGUGAUCCGAACUUCCUACUCAAUUCAGGCAACAGCUCCCAGCCUGAGGCAAAUACCCCCCGAGGCAGUCAGGGUCUCACCUCCCAUGGCUCUGACGCAGGCCUCCAAGGUGAGGAGAUGGAGGUAGCAGAGGUCACUUCACUCAGCUGUCACACACCCUGAGGGAACUCCUGUCACUGUUAUCCCACCUGCAAGUGAGGAGCCAGCAUUUCUCAUGCUCCAGGGUUGGCCACAGAGCCCAUUCAAGGGAGGGAGAAGAGCCUUCGGCCAGCGCAUCCUAACCGCAGAAAGCCAAGACCUCUGCAGAAAAAGAGACCAGGCCCAUAAAAAGAGAUCCAUGAGUUGAGUUCCCUGCCAUGCCACCCCCAGGCAUCUCUGCCCACCAGCCUGCAUGAGCCAGCCCCUCAGUGCAGGUUUUUCCAAUUGGCCGUUUGUUCUUCCACCCAACACUCAAGAUUUGCUUCUCAGCCUGGACAACAUAGCAAAACCCCAUCUCUACAAAAAAUACAAAAAUUAGCUGGGCAUAGUGGCACACACCUAUAGUCCCAGCUACUCGGGAGGCUGAAGUGGGAAGAUUACCUGAGCCUGGGAGGUCAAGGUUGCAGUGAGCCAUGAUCAUGCCACUGUACUCCAGCCUGGGUGACAGAGUGAGAACUUGUCUCAAAAACAAAAAAAGAGAGGAAGAUCUGCUUCUUCAAACCCACACAACUAAUAUAAAGUAAUCAACCUCCCCACCUCAAUAACCUGAAGUUAAACAUCACACAAUAAGCCCUGAACAGAGAGCUGUAGGUCAAUGUUCCAUUUUGCUUUUAAAAGCUUCACAAGAACAUUUCAUUUAUUAAAAUAGUUUCUGUAAACUCUUUCAGAAUAACAAAAUUCACUUGCCUUGCUUAAACAGCAUUUCAAGUAGAAGUAUUUUUAUUUCAAGGCACCAUAAAAUGAUGAUCUCUCUAAGAAAUACCUCUCCUUC
rnacentral:lncRNA from 10 species